rnacentral:rRNA from 1 species
UACGGGGGGGGCGAGCGUUGUUCGGAAUUACUGGGCGUAAAGGGCUCGUAGGCGGCCAACUAAGUCCGACGUGAAAUCCCCAAGCUUAACUUGGGAACUGCGUCGGAUACUGGAUGGCUUGAAUUCGGGAGAGGGAUGCAGAAUUCCAGGUGUAGCGGUGAAAUGCGUAGAUAUCUGGAGGAAUACCGGUGGCGAAGGCGGCAUCCUGGACCGACAUUGACGCUGAGGAGCGAAAGCUAGGGGAGCAAACGGG